AUAAGCGGAGGAAAAGAAACCAACAGGGAUUACCUCAGUAACGGCGAGUGAAGCGGUAACAGCUCAAAUUUGAAAGCUAGCUCUUUUAGGGUUCGCAUUGUAAUUUGUAGAAGAUGCUUCGGGUGUGGCCCCGGUCUAAGUUCCUUGGAACAGGACGUCAUAGAGGGUGAGAAUCCCGUAUGUGACUGGGUGCUUUCGCUCAUGUGAAGCUCUUUCGACGAGUCGAGUUGUUUGGGAAUGCAGCUCAAAAUGGGUGGUAAAUUUCAUCUAAAGCUAAAUAUUGGCCAGAGACCGAUAGCGCACAAGUAGAGUGAUCGAAAGAUGAAAAGCACUUUGGAAAGAGAGUUAAACAGUACGUGAAAUUGUUGAAAGGGAAGCGCUUGCAACCAGACUUGCGCGCUGAUGAUCAUCCGGGCUUCUGCCCGGUGCACUCGUCUGCGCUCAGGCCAGCAUCGGUUUCGGUGGUGGGAUAAAGGCCUUGGGAAUGUAGCUUCUUUCGGGGAGUGUUAUAGCCCUCGGUGCAAUGCCGCCUACCGGGACCGAGGACCGCGCUUCGGCUAGGAUGCUGGCGUAAUGGUUGUAAGCGACCCGUCUUGAAACACGGACCAAGGAGUCUAACAUCUAUGCGAGUGUUUGGGUGUCAAACCCAUACGCGUAAUGAAAGUGAACGGAGGUGAGAACCCUUAAGGGUGCAUCAUCGACCGAUCCUGAUGUCUUCGGAUGGAUUUGAGUAAGAGCAUAGCUGUUGGGACCCGAAAGAUGGUGAACUAUGCGUGAAUAGGGUGAAGCCAGAGGAAACUCUGGUGGAGGCUCGCAGCGGUUCUGACGUGCAAAUCGAUCGUCAAAUUUGCGUAUAGGGGCGAAAGACUAAUCGAACCAUCUAGUA
rnacentral:rRNA from 1 species